rnacentral:rRNA from 1 species
UACAGGGGGGGGCAAGCGUUGUUCGGAAUUACUGGGCGUAAAGCGCGUGUAGGCGGCCAUCUAAGUCGGGCGUGAAAUCCCACGGCUCAACCGUGGAAGUGCACUCGAAACUGGAUGGCUAGAGUCCUGGAGAGGAAGGUGGAAUGCUUGGUGUAGAGGUGAAAUUCGUAGAUAUCAAGCGGAACACCGGUGGCGAAGGCGGCCUUCUGGACAGUGACUGACGCUGAGACGCGAAAGCGUGGGGAGCAAACAGGG